rnacentral:rRNA from 1 species
AGGGUGUAAACGCUGCAGACUUGGUGUUGGGAACCCUUCGGGGGUGCUCAGUGCCGGAGAGAAGUUGUUAAGUCUGCUACUUGGGAGUACGUCCGCAAGGAUGAAACUUAAAGGAAUUGGCGGGGGAGCACCGCAACGGGAGGAGCGUGCGGUUUAAUUGGAUUCAACGCCGGGAAGCUCACCGGAUAAGACAGCGGAAUGAUUGCCGGGCUGAAGACUCUGCAUGACUAGCUGAGAGGAGGUGCAUGGCGUAGACGUCU